rnacentral:rRNA from 1 species
AUUGAACGCUAGCGGGAUGCUUUACACAUGCAAGUCGAACGAGUGGCGGACGGGUGAGUAAUGUAUCGGAACGUGCCCGAUAGCGGGGGAUAACUACUGGAAAGAGUAGCUAAUACCGCAUACUAUCGGAUGUGCCCAGAUGGGAUUAGCUAGUUGGUGGGGUAAAGGCUCACCAAGGCAACGAUCCUUAGCGGGUCUGAGAGGAUGACCAGCCACACUGUAACUGAGACACGGUCCAGACUCCUACGUGAGGCAGCAGUGGGGAAUUUUGGACAAUGGGGGCAACCCUGAUCCAGCCAUGCCGCGUGUAUGAUGAAGGCCUUCGGGUUGUAAAGUACUUUCGGCGGGGAAGCGGUACCUGCAGAAGAAGCACCGGCUAACUACGUGCCAGCAGCCGCGGUAAUAC